GGGUCAGUAGGUUGGUCGUGCCACCGGUACGUACUGGUCUCACUGAUUCCUCCUUCCUGAAGAACCGUAGUGCCAUUAAUUUGGUGUUGCGGGGAAACAGGACUGUUACUUUGAAAAAAUUAGAGUGUUUAAAGCAAGCUAACGCUUGAAUACAUUAGCAUGGAAUAAUGAAAUAGGACGAUCGAUCCUAUUUUGUUGGUUCCUAGGAUUGACGUA
rnacentral:rRNA from 1 species